UCCAAUACCUUUUUAAUCCAAACUCUUUUUAUAAAAGAUAAGACCUAGAUCUAAGGGAAUGAGAUUUCUUCCCUACAAUGAGAGACCCCUAGACACACAUAAAAACCGGCGGACCCUUCCAAAACUCAGAGAAUAACGAAAUCAGACCACCUCUCCAUUUGGUCAUUUGGAUUGAGAACAGAAGGAGAGCAAAACCAGGAGAAAAUCAAUCUCCUCUAGUCUUAAAUGCUUAAACGGGAGUCCGACAAUUGGAGUCAAUGUUCAAGUUUGUUUCCGGUUGAGUUUUGAUUACUUGUUCGUUAGUUUGCUGCUGUCGAUUGCCGAAAUUUCUGCUAAGCUCCGGUCGAGUUUGUCUCGGUUUUUAGUCAGUUUAUUCUAUUUUUCUUGUUCAACUAGGUUAGUUUGAGGAUUUUAUGUAUUUCUCCUUGAUUUUACAUGAAUAAUUGAUUGGAACUACUUUUGAACUUGGUGAAUGAAUCCUGUUAAAUUCAGUCACUGAUUUUAUGAGUUAGUAGUAUUAGCCUUCAUGAUCUUCGAUUAAAAGUGGACUCUGGAAUUUUGAUGUUUAAUUAUUCAGGAUUAAAUGGACGGCACGCUCUCUUGAAAACUGAAUUUAUUGGUUUCUGUCUCAUAAAAAGAGAGCAAAGAAGACAUUAAUGAAAUUGUCUUCUGUCGAGAUAAGAAUGAGUGGCCAUUGUAAAUGUAUUGAUAUUUCACUUCUAAAAAGGGAAGAUAAGUUUAGUUAUAAGUCUUAACUGUAUACUUAUCUUUUGAUUCUUAUUAUUACUGUUUUUUUGAUAGUAUUUCUUGUUCGUUUGAAUAAAUUUUCUGAAUCUCAUUUGGCUCAAUGAUUUCUCAAGUUCUGUGAU
rnacentral:lncRNA from 1 species